GACGCGGUAGCGCAGUGGUUAAGUGUGCUUGACCUGGGAUCAAAAGGUCCUGCAUUCAAGUCCCUGCCACGGCC